rnacentral:pre_miRNA from 1 species
UGGAUAGAUUAUUGUAUUCGACUGUAUUCACGGUGUGAAACAGGGGAUUACAUUGUUUUUAAACGGAAAGUGAAUCAAUUAACAUAAUUGACUCAU